rnacentral:tRNA from 1 species
GGUGGCUCACUGGGAGAGUGCUUGCCUUGCAUGCAUGAGGCCCUGGGUUCGAUUCCUCAGCACCA